rnacentral:rRNA from 1 species
GACGAACGCUGGCGGCGUGCUUAACACAUGCAAGUCGAACGAAGUGGCGAACGGGUGAGUAACGCGUAAUCAACCUGCCCUUCAGAGGGGGAAAACAGUUGGAAACGACUGCUAAUACCGAAUACUGAAGGAGGGGAUUGCGGCGGAUUAGCUAGUUGGGGGGGUAACGGCCGACCAAGGCGAUGAUCAGUAGCCGGUCUGAGAGGAUGAACGGACACAUUGGGAAUGGGACACGGCCCAGACUCCUACGGGGGGAAGCCGGGGGGAAUCUUCCGCCAUGGACGAAAGUCUGACGGAGCAAAGCCGCGUGAGGGAUGACGGCCUUCGGGUUGUAAAGCUCUGUUAAUCGGGACGCGGUACCGGAAUAGAAAGCCACGGCUAACUACGUGCCAGCAGCCGCGGUAAUAC